rnacentral:sRNA from 1 species
AAAAUAUUAAAUGUUAAUAUAUUAAAUUAAAAGUUAGUAAGUCUCUGGUUUGUGUAUUCCACAAAAAUCUUUAGUAUACUAGCCACAAGCUACAUUUACGUGCACAAGGCUUCACACCGAUGUUUUGUUGCAUGACUUUCUCUGUGAAUAUUGUCUGUAAAUAUAAGAAAUUCAGUAAGAAUUGUCUUUUUUUCUACCUAAGAUAUAUGUUCACGUUCUUGCUGAGAAAAUGUAUGGAAGUAAAAUUAACUAAAAGAGCAUAUGUGUUCCAGAUUGGAAGUGAUAAUGUAGUAAAUAUUGUCUUUUAUAUUCCACAAACAGGAAGAGUAAUUCUUCAUCUAAAGCCACGACAAUGAGUGAAAAUGAUUUCAAGCACACAAAAUCCUUUAUAAUUUAAAGACUCCACUUUUGAGAUACACCAAAGCCACCGUUGUUACGCAAGUUAUUAAACUAUUAUAAAACUCUGCUUUGUCUGACAUUUGCAAAGAGGUACACAAGGAAAUGGAAUUGGUAUUUCAUUUUAAUUUUCAUGACUACUAACUCACCUGAACUUGCUAUUUUAAACAAAUAGUUCUGUCAACACCUAAAAUAUAAUCUGGCUUCUUGUGUCUGGA